UAGAGACAUGUAAUACACAGGGGCAUCAUUGUUUAUUAUCAACUUUUGAAGGACAUUGGAAACUGUAGGUAGCAUCCCUCUCACAUACCUCACAUAACACUGUAGAGUUCAAGAAAGCUAAGACAUGUCUAGCAAUGGGGUGAGUACUUUUGCUUAAAAUUCUCCCAUGUUAGUGGGAUGCCUUGGUUCCUGCUUGGAAGGGGGGAUCGGUGAGGAAGAAGCACCCCGCAGGACACGGUUCCCGCUUGGAAGGGGGGGUGGGGGACGGACAGAGCACACCGCAGGGCAGGUUUCCCGCUUGGAAGGGGGGGUGGGGGACGGACAGAGCACACCGCAGGGCAGGUUUCCCGCUUGGAAGGGGGGGUGGGGGACGGACAGAGCACACCGCAGGGCAGGUUUCCCGCUUGGAAGGGGGGGUGGGGGACGGACAGAGCACACCGCAGGGCAGGUUUCACGCUUGGAAGGGGGGAUCGGUGAGGAAGAAGCACCCCGCAGGACAUGGUUCCCGCUUGGAAGGGGGGGUGGGGGACGGACAGAGCACACCGCAGGGCAGGUUUCCCGCUUGGAAGGGGGGGUGGGGGACGGACAGAGCACACCGCAGGGCAGGUUUCCCGCUUGGAAGGGGGGGUGGGGGACGGACAGAGCACACCGCAGGGCAGGUUUCCCGCUUGGAAGGGGGGGUGGGGGACGGACAGAGCACACCGCAGGGCAGGUUUCCCGCUUGGAAGGGGGGGUGGGGGACGGACAGAGCACACCGCAGGGCAGGUUUCACGCUUGGAAGGGGGGAUCGGUGAGGAAGAAGCACCCCGCAGGACACGGUUCCCGCUUGGAAGGGGGGGUGGGGGACGGACAGAGCACACCGCAGGGCAGGUUUCACGCUUGGAAGGGGGGGUGGGGGACGGACAGAGCACACCGCAGGGCAGGUUUCACGCUUG